CCUGUUGCUUAGCGUUGGGAGCCUACAGCCUGCUGUAGCUCCUUAAAGGUAGUGGCGGAGUCGGUUCACACUCUAGACGUAGUAAAAUCUUUAUCUCGCCUAUGGAUGAGCCGGCGCCUUGCCGUAAAACCCCUAAUCUUUCACAAGGUUGACCUCGGAUCAGGUAGGAAUACCCGCUGAACUUAAGCAUAUCAAUAAGCGGAGGAAAAGAAACCAACAGGGAUUGCCCUAGUAACGGCGAGUGAAGCGGCAACAGCUCAAAUUUGAAAUCUGGCCUUCGGGUCCGAGUUGUAAUUUGCAGAGGAUGCUUUGGGCGCGGUGCCUUCCGAGUUCCCUGGAACGGGACGCCUUAGAGGGUGAGAGCCCCGUACGGUUGGACACCAAGCCUCUGUAAAGCUCCUUCGACGAGUCGAGUAGUUUGGGAAUGCUGCUCUAAAUGGGAGGUAAAUUUCUUCUAAAGCUAAAUAUUGGCCAGAGACCGAUAGCGCACAAGUAGAGUGAUCGAAAGAUGAAAAGCACUUUGAAAAGAGGGUUAAAUAGCACGUGAAAUUGUUGAAAGGGAAGCGUUUACGACCAGACCUUUUCGCAGCGGAUCAUCCGGUGUUCUCACCGGUGCACUUCGCUGGGUUGAGGCCAGCAUCGGUUUCCGCAGGGGGAUAAAAGCCUGGGGAACGUAGCUCCCUCGGGAGUGUUAUAGCCCCUCGCAUAAUACCCUUGCGGGGACCGAGGACCGCG
rnacentral:rRNA from 1 species